rnacentral:rRNA from 1 species
AUGAACGCUAGCUACAGGCUUAACACAUGCAAGUCGAGGGGCAGCAGGAUUGUGCUGCACAGAUUGCUGGCGACCGGCGCACGGGUGAGUAACGCGUAUCCAACCUUCCCCAUAGUAGAGGAUAGCCCGGCGAAAGUCGGAUUAAUACUCUAUGUUGUACAACGAGGACAUCUGAAUUGUACCAAAGAUUCAUCGCUAUGGGAUGGGGAUGCGUCUGAUUGGGUAGUCGGCGGGGUAACGGCCCACCGAGCCUACGAUCAGUAGGGGUUCUGAGAGGAAGGUCCCCCACAUUGGUACUGAGACACGGACCAAACUCCUACGGGAGGCAGCAGUGAGGAAUAUUGGUCAAUGGGCGCGAGCCUGAACCAGCCAAGUAGCGUGCAGGAAUGACUGCCCUAUGGGUUGUAAACUGUCUUUUAUCAGGGAAUAAAGUGAGGCACGUGUGCCUUUUUGUAUGUACCUGAUGAAUAAGGACCGGCUAAUUCCGUGCCAGCCGCCGC